GACGGGGACCCGCACAAGCGGUGGAUGAUGUGGAUUAAUUCGAUGCAACGCGAAAAACCUUACCUACCCUUGACAUGCAUGGAAUCCCGAAGAGAUUUGGGAGUGCUCGAAAGAGAACCAUCACACAGGUGCUGCAUGUCUGUCGUCAGCUCGUGUCGUGAGAUGUUGGGUUAAGUCCCGCAACGAGCGCAACCCYUAUCCUCAGUAGCCAGCAUUUAAGGUGGGCACUCUGGGGAGACUGCCAGGGAUAACCUGGAGGAAGGCRGGGAUGACGUCAAAUCAUCAUGCCCUUAUGAUUUUGGGCUACACACGUGCUACAAUGGCGUAAACAAAGGGAAGCGAGAUUGUGAGAUGGAGCAAUCCCAAAAAUAACGUCCCAGUUCGGACUGUAGUCUGCAACCCGACUACACGAAGCUGGAAUCGCUAGUAAUCGCGGAUCAGAAUGCCGCGGUGAAUACGUUCCCGGGUCUUGUACACACCGC
rnacentral:rRNA from 1 species